rnacentral:lncRNA from 1 species
UGUAAACUAUAAUUUCCCUACUGAUCCUAUAGAACGCUACAUCUUAUUUUUUCUUUCAAAUUGUAUACUUGUACCCAUUAGUCAACCUUUCUUCAUCCCCUUUGAUUAUUUUUCAGAAUUUCAUUUUGAUUUAUUUAUAGUGUUCCAAGUACAUUGUUUCUUCUGGUUUUUGUAGUGGUUGCUCUAGGCAUUACAAUAUAUACACUAACCACAGUAAACUAGUAUUGCUGUUUAACCACUCUGAAGUGUGGAAAACUUACUUCCAUUUUGAUACCGUUAGCUUCCCUACUCUGAAAGUAUAGUUGUCCUAAGUAUUCCUCUGCAUACACAGAGCACUACAUCACAUGAUGUUAUAAUUUUUGCUUCAACCAUCAAGUACGAUUUAGUAACUCAUAAGCAGAAAGUCUAUUUACCCCUGCUUUCACCCAUUCUGUUGUCCUUUCCUUCCUGAAGUUCCAAACCUUCUGUCAUUAUUUUAUUUCUGUUUGGAGAACCUCCGGUAGUAAUUCUUUGAGGAUAGGUCUGUUAGGGACCCACUCUUUUAGUUUUUCUUUAUCUGAGAAUGUCUUAUUUUCCCUUCAUUCUUAAAGGAUACAUAUGAGGGAUAUAGAAUUUAUAGUUGACGGUUCUUUUCUUUUAGCACUUGCAAAAUGUUGCGCCCCUUCCUGCUAGCCUCCAUGGUUUCAGAUGAGCAAUGUGCUGUCAUUUGGACUGGUGUUCCCCUAUAGGGAAAGAGAAACAAAAUCCAUGGUGGAUCAAGCUGAUGAAAAACAGCUAAUGUGUCCUGAAAUCAGUUGGCUGAACCAGUGAGGUUCAUCACCCUUUUCUUGGGUUAUAUUUGCUCAUAAUGUGAAGUUAGUUUGAGAUUUUGAAAGCAGUUUGGAAGAAUCACUCAUGGUCACAGUCUAUUUGCAAACCUAUCAACGCUGGAGAUUUGAUGCUGUCACUGAGGUACACACUGCUCAAAGCAACACAGAAAUUCUGGCAGGGUCUACGCAUGGCAGGGGCUGGAAGGGACCUGCCCAGAUUCCAUGAGAACACGCAGAUCAGGGCAGCUCUCUGUGGAGGCAUCCUGCGGCACCAGAGUAUUUAGGAGAGAUACAAAACCCCAUUAAUUUUACAAGCAUGGCAAGAGCACAGCCUCAGCAGCGGCAGCGUCAUCAUUUGGUUGACAGAAAGCACAUGUUUUUGCACACAUGGACUUCAAAAUAGCCACAUCAAAACAAAAAUGUGUUUCCAACAGCCCAGCAUGUGGCAUGGACUGAAGUUUUAAUUGGUAAGCAUAUGGUGAAAACCAGCAAGGGCCCCUCCUGGCGGCUUCAUUACAGACAGGGACAUGGGGUCAGUUGGCUGCCAUAAGCCUGUGUCUACUCACCACCCCAGGGAUCUGGGCAAAGUAGGGAGGCUCUGUGAUUGAUGGCUAUUUGACUUCAGCCUGCGGGUGUGCACUGCCAUGUUCCAUUCCACUGAACAUGCAGGACUCUACCCAAGCAGCGGCUCUGGCCCUGAUUAGGCUGCCUGGGCAGGUGUGCUAACAGACACGCGAGCUCUGGAAAAGCCACACUCUUGUGGGGGAGGAGUACAAUUUCAUCCCAAUACACUAGGGCCUAACUUCUUGGAAUCAGGUAUUUCAAUUUGUGAUUUCAACCACUGGGGUGGUAUCUUUUUUUCAUGACUGCUGGGGAGGUAGUAAUCGGCAAAGUCAUCUCCUGCCCAGAAUACAUGACUCAGUGUCUACAAGGUCUGAUUGCAAAUCUGAGGCCAUCCUAAUGAUGAACAAAUUAAAUAACUGUCACACACAUUCAAGUCAAGCAAAACUGCCAGGGUCCACGGCAGAGCCCUUCUCUAGCUGUCUUAAUCAAACACAGGAAAGUUGUCUGAGGGCCAAGACCUUGCCUUCCUCUCCUGCUGGAGGGCCCCAGCGUGGUCCUGGGGCCAGCGUCUGCUCACAGCAUUCUUACUGAUACUCAGGAAGCACCCAGGACAGCCCUGAGACUCCACACCGAACUCCAGAACAUUUCUCCUCCCCUUUCCCAUUAUCUUUCAGCAGGAUUUCCCUCACUCAUACUUCUCUCCGUGCACACACACACACACACACACACACACACACACACACACACACAGUUCCUUCUGAGUGUCUCUAAGCCAGGUCUGCUGCCCUCUGGGAAAAUGCAGGAAAACGUCUCAUUUAUACCCACCAAGUCCCGAGGAAACGGGAGAAACCAUAUAAUCCUGUAGGAAAAGUCCUAAAGGGAGCUAUGACCUUUGGCAACAACUAGGGAGAAAAGGUGCUUGUUUCCCUCCUAGGAAUGUUUACAACUUCUCACUGUUACCAGUCCCAGAAUUUAAUGAGCCUUUCUCUGGCCUGAAAAUGUGGUGUUGGUGGUGAAAGACAGACACAGCGACCCAUGAGACUGACCUAGCUCUGUCACAGAGGCUAGAGAGAAGCAGAUUAGAGAGGAUCCUGAACAACCUGCCGUGAUAUCCGUGUGGCAAAAGUGAGUGAGCUCUGCCACCAGUGGGCACAGGGAAACCCCCACCUCUCAACUGCCAGCAGACACAAUAACGAAAAUACUUUUGUAAGAGUGAUGGAUGUGUAAGAUAAAAUGCACGGUGCCCUGGGAAGGCAUGGCAAGGGUCUUUGGCAAGGCCUGGAACGUAAGUCUCUGUGGCAAAAUGAUGUUUGAGUCUCAAGGGGUAAAAAUGAGUUAAAAGGGGGGAAAUGCUGAGAAUGCCCUGGGCAGAGGGAAGUGCACAUGCAGGCACCCAGAGCCCACUGCGUGCCGGAGGGAAUGAAAGCUGCGUGGCCUGGCAGGAGGAGUGAGAGGAGGUUUGGGUGGUUGUCAGGGGCCAGGGCAACCAGCGCUGUGUGUUGAUGGAGGGAUCUGGGACUUUACUCUAAGGACAGUGAUGUCUGCUCUGUGUUUCAUUUUGUCUGAGGUGAGCCCUGUCUCCACCUGCAUCACAGGCAAGCAAGGCUUUCUGCUGGGAACAGCUUGGGUGUGCCUGCGAGCUGUGGAGUGAGGCCCCUAGUCAGUGUGGAAUCAAGAGUCCACGAAGCAAACCUUAGAGAGAGAGACAGAGGAGGAAGAGGUGAACACCAAUCAGUGGAGCUCAAGAGAAAAAGAAAAUAAAAACACAGCACCACUGGAAGAACACAUGGGUAAGGGACUGAGACUCUGAACAGCAGGAGGUUUUUCCAUCCCAGACAUCAGCUGGGGGAGGAACCGUGUUCACACCGGAGCGGGGCAGGGAGUUCCGCAGGGCUGCUGGCUCCCUUUGAGGAAUGGUUACUGAGCACUUCACAGGAACUGCCUUCCGAAGCCCUCACGAUCUCUCUAUGGGGAGGGCUCUGGUAUUACCCUCAGAAAGCUGAGGCCAGGAGAGAACAGUGAAGGCCCGUGCCAGGGUGGCCAGGCAGGAAGGAGCAGAGUGUCCCUUCCCCAGCAUGUAAUGCCUCUAAGCAUCUUCAAGGGAGGCUCAGGAGUGACUGUGAUACCCCAAACCCAGCAGGUCAAGAGAUGCCACGGCUCACCAUGCUUGUCCAUAACCACCCUGGAUGGAGGAAGGACACAAAGAUCUGAUUGCAUCUCCUGGGCUGUGCAAGGGAGGAGGGGAACUGCAGGAAGGACUUGGGCCAGGUGCCCAGGCAACCCUUCUCCUAGCAGUGGGCGUGCAUUUGGAAAUAAAAGGAAGACAUGGCAAGGAAUGCCUGGUAACAUUACAGGCAUCCAAAACUGGGAUCUGUCUUCCUGGGUCACAGCCCAAGAGCGCAGAUCGAUGGGGUCUCAGCAUCGCUAGGAUGCACUUAGCAAAGACCAGAAAAAUGUGUUUGGCCAGAGCCUGCACUGACCUGGCUCCGAGGGCUUGCAGCUAGAUUUGAAGGUUGGGGUAGGGGGAAUAGAAGGGCCAAAGAAGAAAAUCAACACUAAACUGCAUAAAAGGAUGUGGUAAUGGAUACUUUCUGCAAGGUGGAAGAAGUAAUAGAAAAGAAGGGGUCCAGGGUAUCCUCAAAGAGACAUAACAGGGUACUGGGCUGUCACCAACCACCCUGUGGGGAAGGACCCAUAACCAGAACACAGCCACUAAAAGGAAUUCUUCACCCCAAAGAAACAGACAUUACUGGAGUGAGUGGGGUUUGGGAAACCAGGAUGGGAACCCAUCAACAUGAGAACCCAUGGAAGGGGGGAGAAACUAAGUGCUUUUCUUAGGUGUAAGAAUAUAAAGGCUGCCCCGUCAGAUGGAGAAUGUGACCAUGCUUUCCUCAUGCAGGUCGCAAAAUGAGGAGAGAAAUGAGGAACGAGCCGGCCUGAGGACUUCGGCCAGCUGGUCCCUGUAUGAAGUCCGCCAGGGCAGACCAUCACUCACACAAUCUUGUUUUCUUUGUCCCUCCCAAAUCCCAACACCAACUCCUCAUCUGGUCCCCAAAACCUCACUGGACAUCAGGUCCUGCUUGCCUAAGUGCAGUAAAAAUCAAACUUACUACAUAUUGAGCACCUUCUACACCCAGAUGCUGUACCAGGAAUCAUAUUACAUCAUCCUCUUUGGUUCCCACACCUACAAUAUAAAGUGAAGAUUGAUGUCCCCAUGUGAGAAAUAAGGAAACAUGUUCAGAGAGGUUAAGCAACUUGCCCAGAGCUACACAGUAGGCUGGCUACUCUCUGACUGUUUGAUCCAUGCUCUGUUCUGCUCUGUGCCUGAGGAUGCUGACUCCCGCACAGAACACCAGCUGUAUUUGCUCUCCCUCUCCCUGGCUCAGCCCCUGGAAGUUCUAGCAAAGGUAGGAAGAAGGAAACUGGGAUAUUAACACCCCUGCUUCCUUCACGUAGGGCCUUAGUUUGGCAGAGGUUGUCAGGCCACUGUUUCUGUCCCUUGGUCUCUCUCCUCUGGCCACAACUCUUACCAAGUCCUAGUCAUUCACCAAGUUUCUUCAGGCCUGAAGGUGGGAACAGUGUCCCACGACCGCUAGUCUCUGGGUGAAGCAUCACCACAUUUUGAUGGUCCCAUGACCUCCCUAUACCUCUGUAAACAGUCCCUUCACUGAAUAUAUUCAGCAACCCUCUGACCAACAGGACCUCACUGCUAAGCAGAGCUCAUGCUAGCAGAGCUUGCAUUUGAACCUGGAUUGGCUGGACUGCAAAGCUCGGGCUGUUAAUCACAGGGCUAUACUGUGUGGUGGGUGACUUAAGCAAUCAAGAAGUACAUAAUCAUUCCUGGAAUUAAGCGUGUACGCACACGUGCACACACACACGCGCACACACACACAGUGGGCAGGAAUGUUUCAAUGUUGCUUUCAUCCACGUCCCUGACAGCCGAGUUCAGAGUGUCCAAUUAGAAUUUCUGGUUAUGCAAUUUUUCUUUGAAGUGAUAAAUUGGUGGUAGAAAGUUCUGAACUUGAUACAUCUCUGGGUGGCUUCAGUUGAUUUCAAUCUGUGGUAGUGUCUAGAUGACUCUGCCAGGACUUGGCUUUCUGGCAGGUCUUAUGAAACCAAGGGCUGGGCCAGCCAGUUCUAUAAUAGUUGCUCCAAACUGUGUAGAUUCCAGGGACCUCCCCAGCUCAGAGCUAAUAACUAACACGAUUGACUACAGACGUGUGUUUUAAUCACAGAAAUCUGAAAAAGGUCCCAAGAGAAAAAAGCUUACAACUUUCAAAAUCUUUUAGACUUUGCCUUUGGUGUUAGACCAGUUCUUCCUAGGUUGUUCACUUGGAUUCACUCUAGAGCAAGGUUUCUCAGCCUGGGUACCUGGGUAUUCUAGGUUGAAUAAUUCCUUCUUCUGGGAGACUGUCUCAUGAGCUGCAGGAUGUUUAGCAGAAUCCCUGGUUUCUACUCACUAGAGGCUUCAGCACCAACCUUCCACUUCUCCUCUGCUAUUGUGGCAACUGAAAAUGUCUCCAGACACUGCCAAAUGUCCCCCAGGAGAGCAAACUCACCCCUGGUUGAGAAUCACUGCUCUACAGGAAUAGUUGCAUGAGGAUGGGCACAAACUCAGCUUCACAAAAGAAAUUCUACUCAAGCCUCACAAAAGAGACAGCUUAUCACUUGCAAAAUACUGAUUCAAUAGCCUAAUUUUUAUGCCUUAAAAGUUAAGCCAUGCUUUGUCCUCAAGUUUCAGAGUUUGAUUUUCCAGAGGUUCAGACCUAAGCCCCACUGAAGAUGACUUCAGAGAUGGCUUAGGCCUGAACCUGCUUGACCCGAACAAUUUUGACCAUGUAUAGUCAAAAUUACCUUCAAAAGUCCCUUUGGACAGUGCUACCUUAUAGAUCCCAUAACUUCUCCAUGGUUUUGACAAUCACGGUUUUAAUUUAGCGUCAGUGGAACUCCUUAAGUGCUGGGAUUGCAUUCAUGGGCUGUGUUACCCCCAAAUACAAAUCUGUAAACUCUAAACUCACAUUUGAAGCAGCAAAUUGUUCAUACGACAAGGGGCACGUUGGAAUCAGGAAUGGUUCAAGGAAAAGAAGAAAAGAUCUAUGCUCCUUGUGGUCAUGCUCCCUCAGGGACAUGCACUUAAUAUGAAUGUUAGACAGGAUUAAAAGCGCUAUUUAAAUUAGAAUUUCCACUUCCCACUCUUGCCCCUCAGAUUACGCUUCUGAUUAAGUUCACUUGCUUAAAUAUGUAUAUAAUGCUACUGUAGUAUCAUACAGGAUAAAAAAGAAGCAAUUUCAGGUUCAAUUAUUCUCAUAUUGAUAACAUAUAGGGUGACUAUUCUAUUAGAGUCAGAUCCUCAGAAAGAAAUGGCCCAGAUAUGUCAACUCUCUGUAAAAGUUUCCUCUCUAUUAAUUAUACCAACAUCAUUUAUUCAGUCCUUAUGGAGUGGCCUGCAUAGUCAAAGAUGUGUCCUCCACCCAUGGCUCAUGUAAUAAAUUUCUUCCUGGGUAGAGAGGAAACAGCUGUCUCUGCAGAUUCAUGAGUCUGCUUUCUUUUGUCAUGCUUGACCAUUCGCCAACUCAUAACCCAUGUACUGAAUGCUUGUUCUGCUCCAAGCACUGGGAAUAACAAAGGUGGGCACAGGCACGUGCCCUGCCCGAGGCACACGUAGAUGCUUGGGAGGAGCAACUUAUCACAUGGACAGUGAGGUAAGCCCUGCAUCCCAACUGUGCACAAGAUGCAAGGGAAACACAAGAGAGGGAUCAAGGGCGGCUUUAGAGAAGAGAAGAUGCCUCAGCUCGAUGAAGAGUCCAGGGGGCACCCAAUGGAAGAGUGCACUCCAAGCACAGAGCAUGGCAUUUUCAGCUGCUUCCUUCCACUGGGAAAUGCCAUUUAUCUCCACCUGGCCUCAGGAGGGACUCGUUUACAAGAGGGAGCAAGGAGGGAACAUAGUUCUAGCUCUCUAGAGAAGGCAGCUUAACCCCGGGAUGCCCUCCAGGGACCACCAUCAACAUAUGGUUUUCAGAGUCUCAAUAUUUUAAGACCGACAUUACUCAUCCAUGACUGAGCCAUCUGCCUGGGACAAUCUUCCAUGGCUCAGGGAUCGGGAGUAACGGGAUGUCACGGGAAGCUGUGGAGGAGCCGGCCCGCUCCAGCAGAAUGAGCCAAGGUUUGGAGAGCCAGCAAAGAAUUGGACAGACAAUAUCGUUCCAUUAUAUCCAGUUCUGCUAAGGUCAUGGAGUCCGGCCUUGUUUAAAUUAAACUUUAUGCCAUAUUUAGUCAACCCUCCUAGAAUUAAAAGCUUAAUGCCUCUGCUGUCUUCAAUUGGCUAAGUCUACAUCAGGCUGUAAGCCAUAACACUUGACUAAAGCAAACAGUGCUAGCAGGAGGGUUAGUCAACACACACUGUGUAAACGCUGCUGAGAACCAUCCCUGUGUUAAUGUGAAAGAAAACGGACCCACAGUAUGCAGAGCAGGCAGGAAAACAGCUGAUGCUCAAGGCUGCAGUGUACAAUAUCAUCGCGCCUCUCCAAAUAAAGUGAAGAAGACAGAAUAUCUCCCAGGAGAGCUUGCCUGUCUGUACAUAAGGACGUACACACACACACCCACAUCCAACCAUGUGCCAGUAAUUUUUACAAUUUGAAUUAUUUUCCUUCUUCCAUAUUUACCUUCUAUUUUCACUAGGUCCACAUUUUUCUUUGCUUGCUGUAAUUAAUUUUAUUCUCCUUCAGUUUAAUUUAAACCAGACUAACAGUUCCUCGGGUAAGAACAUUCGAAUGUUGGUCACUUGAUUGGGCAGACCCACAUCUCAAAAUGAUAAAGUAUUAAAUGAAUAUUCCAGUAUUUAGGAUUAAAUGUUAAAGUAAAGCUUAUUUUCCAUAUUCUCCUUUUUCCAUGGCCAUACAUUGACAACUUUGAUGAAUCAUUUUGCUUUAAUAUAAGUGGCUCUGAAGACGUCUAGUUUGUUAGUGACCAGGCAGUUGCAGUCACAACCCCCCUCCCCCAACAAAGUGUACCCAUAGUUGCUGUCUCAGUAUUAGCCUGCAGGUUGAAAUCAUCACUACUGCCCUGAGGAAGCCUGUCUGAUGUUAACCUGUUCAUUUUCCCUCUACUCUCCCUG